ACCAAGGAGUCUAACAUAUUUGCAAGUUAUUGGGUAAAGAAAAUACCUUAAAUAGCAUAAUUAACAUAACUUUUUUUAUAUAUAUAUUAUAUAUAUAAAUAUAUGGGAUUAGCUUUUAGAUUGUAUUUUUUUUAAAAAUAUAAUUCUAUUAGUUCAAUCCCGGGGCGUUCUUAUAUGGUUAUGUAUAAUAAUAUUUUAUUAUAUUAUUUAUACCUCUAACUAGAGCGUACCCUGAGCAUAUAUGCUGUGACCUGAAAGAUGGUGAACUAUACUUGAUCAGGUUGAAGUCAGGGGAAACCCUGAUGGAAGACCGAAACAGUUCUGACGUGCAAAUCGAUUGUCAGAAUUGAGUAUAGGGGCGAAAGACCAAUCGAACCAUCUAGUAGCUGGUUCCCUCCGAAGUUUCCCUCAGGAUAGCUGGUGCGUUUAAAGAUUAUGUAAAAUAAUCUUAUCUGGUAAAGCGAAUGAUUAGAGGCCUUAGGGUCGAAACGGCCUUAACCUAUUCUCAAACUUUAAAUGGGUAAGAACCUCACCUUUCUUGGUACGAAGGUUGUGGUUGUGAUAUAAUGUGCCCAGUGGGCCACUUUUGGUAAGCAGAACUGGCGCUGUGGGAUGAACCAAACGUAAUGUUACGGUGCCCAAAUUAACAACUCAUGCAGAUACCAUGAAAGGCGUUGGUUGCUUAAAACAGCAGGACGGUGGACAUGGAAGUCGUAAUCCGCUAAGGAGUGUGUAAUAACUCACCUGCCGAAGCAACUAGCCCUUAAAAUGGAUGGCGCUUAAGUUGUAUACCUAUACAUUACCGCUAAAGUAAAUGGUUUAUGUUCAAAUUUUAUAUUUGAAUUUAUAAACUUUGAAACUUUGGUGAGUAGGAGGGUACUAUGGUGUGCUUUGAAGUGUUUGGCGUAAGCCUGCAUGGAGCCGCCAUUGGUACAGAUCUUGGUGGUAGUAGCAAAUAAUCGAAUGAGACCUUGGAGGACUGAAGUGGAGAAGGGUUUCGUGUGAACAGUGGUUGAUCACGAGUUAGUCGGUCCUAAGUUCAAGGCGAAAGCCGAAAAAUUUCAAUUUUCAUUACUCUUAUAUAAUUUAUAGAAGAAGAGAAGAAUUUGAAACAUUUGAAUAAUUGUUGAACGAAAGGGAAUACGGUUCCAAUUCCGUAACUUGUUGAGUAUCCGUUUGUUAAUAAUAUGGGCCUUGUGCUCAUCCUGGUAACAGGAACGACCAUAAAGAAGCCGUCGAGAGAUAUCGGAAGAGUUUUCUUUUCUGUUUUAUAGUCGUACUACCAUGGAAGUCUUUCGAAGAGAGAUAUGGUAGAUGGGCUAGAAGAGCAUGACAUUUACUGUUGUGUCGAUAUUUUCUCCUCGGACCUUGAAAAUUUAUGGUGGGGUCACGCAAACUUCUCAACAAGCCGUACCAAUAUCCGCAGCUGGUCUCCAAGGUGAAGAGUCUCUAGUCGAUAGAAUA
rnacentral:rRNA from 1 species